rnacentral:sRNA from 1 species
UUUCAUUCCAUAAUUUUAGUACAAAUACUACUGUCGUCAUCAGUGAGCAGAAGGUUUAAUUGGUCGUUUCAGGUACCUUACAAGAGGUACAAUACGACGACUUGAUAAUGGGAGGACAGCAGUACAUUUACGAUCUUCGCACGCGCUUCAGCUGCCAGCGGGGGGGGAAGAUGAUCAUGCUCCUCUUCUUCUCUUUUGUCUUCCUUUCCUAUUCUUCUUCUCUUACCUCUUUCAGUUCUCGAAUAAUCCUAUUCCUCAGUCAACAACUUGUGGUGCGCGUCAUUUGAAUGUGGAUACCCAUAAUCCGUUUGGUUUGUAUAGCGUUAAAUUAAAGAAGCUUGCUCUGCGUUGGAGUUCAUCGUCAUAUCUAAUCCCUUCCUCGUACGUCAGUACCCAUGUAAUGUGUAAUUCACCAUGCAAUCCAUACAUCAUAUGAUACAUCUGGAACACCGACGUCUCUCAUCCCCUUUCAACUAUCUCACGCCCUUUAUUCAUCGUCAUCCUUCUUCACCUUCUUUUUCUUCGGCUUCUCUUCCUCACUCCCACUCCCACUUGUCUCCUUUGCCUUCGUUCGCUUCGCUUGCGUCUUCUUCCGCAGUUCUUCCAUCAUAGGAUCGCUUGCAUCUGAAGCCAUGCCAGAAUCGUCGUCAGAAUCAGAUUCACUUGGUGAGCCGCCGUCAGAAGAUUCAUCUUCAAAGUCUUCAUCUUCUGUCAUGGCUUCAUCAGCAAACAAUAUACUGUAUGAGCAAAACCGGAGAGGGGAAGGGGCCGCUUACCAGACUCAUCUUCAUCAUCAUCGGCUAGUUUCUUCACAGGCUUAGUCUUCGAUUUGUCAUUCUUUGCCCUCGAUGGUCUCUCGUCUUCAGAAGCACUUUCCAUCUCCUCAUCAUCGUCGCUAAACGGCUCAUCGAUAUCAACAAUUGCCUCCUCCAUCUCAUUCUUGAGUCGGAUGUUCUUCGACUGCAAGAACGAGCUGAUCGGCCCGACUUCUUGCUUGUUGAUAGCGCUGAACACGUGAUCAGCGCCUCCAGUCUUCGACACGACGCGCAUGUCGAAUGUUCGGGCGGAAGCGACACCACCGCCGACACGUGAAAAUGAAAUGCUGUCGGUUUUGGAGAAAUCGAUAAGGAUGGGUUGUUUAGAGAUGAAAAUGAGACCUUUUUCGAGGAAGUAGAGUUCUCCUUGGACAGCCUUGACGUUAGCUCUAAUACCGUUGAGGCCUUGAGCGCUGAGAAGUGAAUUAGCUUGUGUUUGCAUGGUAAAAAGAUGGCAAGAAACUCACUUUCUCAAGCUUCCGGGGGGUGUCACCUUCUUUCCAGUCAAUGCUUUGAGCACACGAGAGACGACCUGGAAGGUUGUCGCUUCAUAAGUUUUUUCCAAGUCAGGGUACUGUGCGAGUUCCUCGCUACGACUGAUCAGUACAUAUCAAUGGAAAUAACAAUGUAACUUACUCUGUGAGAUUGAGUUCCGCAUUGACGACCUCAUCCUUGGGCCACUGUGCGACAAGGAAGGGAUAUCGAGUAGCACCUUGUCGAAUAGGAGGGUCGAGACCAAGGACGAGCUGAACGUGCAAAUCGUCGAGCUUGGGAAGAAGAAAGAUUCGGUGAAUAGAAGUAAAUGGGACUCGGUGGUCGGUGGAUUUACCGACAAGUCGGAUGGAGUCGGCGUAAACUUCGAUAGAGAAUCGACCUCUACAAAUAAAUCAGCGAUUGUUUCGAAGGGAUAGCAAGUGGAUGAACUUACCUGGGUGUCAAGAUUAAGCAGUCUUCAAACACCACAAUGCUAUCCCCGACGACAGCUCCAAUAUCCGCCUUUUCCUUGAUCAAACUGUGGAACGCAUCCGCCGCACUGACUUCAUUCCCCUCCUCAUCCAACUCUGUCUCCUCGCCACCACUACCAGCAUCGCUACCAGCCUUUUUCGUACUCUUGCCAGGAAUGUAGAAACGCAUCUCAACCAUUUCGUCAGGAGGACGCUUAUUGAGAUCUUUGGGGUCAAAUUUGUAAUUGGAAGGAGGGUUGAAUUCGAGCGCGACUUCGUAUUUGCCGGCAAUGUUGGAGUUGGCGACUUGGGAGAGGGGAACAUCGAACGCGGUUUUGCCUUGAACUUGGAAGACUAGAUCACUCCCUAUCAAUUUGUUAGUCUGCUCGGGAUUCGAUGGAUAAGAUUG